rnacentral:rRNA from 1 species
AUGAAGUCCACGGUAGUAAGAUCGCCAUGGCUAGCGCUAGCCCUCGUCCUCUCCCUGUGCCUCUCCCUCUCGUUCGCGUCGUGGGAUGCCGAGGACGUAGGUAGGGGUAGUAGGAGGUGGCAGGAAGGGGGCGACGACGAAGGGCGGUCCGGCUCCGGCUCCGGCCGGCCGUACCACUUCGGCGAGGAGAGCUUCCGGGAGUGGGCCAAGUCGCGGCACGGCCACUUCAAGGUGCUGGAGCGUUUCGACCACGAGCUGCUCCGGGGCUCCAUCGGCGACUACCGCGUCGCGUGCCUGGACGCGGCGCCGCGCGCGUUCCUGCAGCCCAGCCACUACGACGCCGACGAGAUCGCCUUCGUGAGGGAAGGCGAGGGCGUGCUGGUGCUGCUGAGGAACGGGAAGCGGGAGUCGUUCUGCGUCAGGGAGGGCGACGUGUUCGUGAUCCCGGCUGGGUCCAUCGUGUACUCCGCCAACACGCACCGCUCCAAGUGGUUCCGGGUCGUCAUGCUCCUCAACCCCGUCUCCACGCCGGGCAGCUUCCAGGAGUUCUCCCCUAUUGGGUUUGGAGGCGAGCAGCCACAGUCCUUCUUCAGCGUCUUCAGCGACGAGGUUAUCCAGGCGGCAUUCAACACUCGGCAGCGGGAGGAUGUGGACAGAGUGUUCCAGAGGAAGAGCAGAGGUGAGGGUCCGAUAUCUGAGGGGUCGGAGGAGCAGAUACGGGAGCUGAGCAGGUCGUGCUCCAGGGGAGGACGCGGCGGCGGCGGCGGGUCGGGUUCCGAGAAGGAGGACAUCCAGCCGCGCAGCCUCACCGGCGAGAAGCCCCGCUACUCGAACAAGCACGGCAGGUUCCACCAGAUCACCGGCGACCAGUGCCACCACCUCCGCAAGCUCGACAUGGAUGUCACCCUCGUCAACAUCACCCGGGGCUCGAUGACGGCGCUGAGAUACGCCACCCGGUCGACCAGGAUCUACAUCGUCGUGGAGGGGCGCGACGGCUACUUCGAGAUGGCGUGCCCGCACGUCUCCAGCUUCGGCCGUUCUGAGCGCCGGGAGCACGAGCAGGAGCGCGAGCGCGAGCACGGACACGGCAGGAGGAGCGAGGAGCGCGAGCGUGAGCAUGGGCAGGGCAGGAGGAGCGAGGAGCGCAAGGACGAGCAGGGAAGACAGGAGGAGGAGCAGGGCCGCGGCCAGGAGCAGGAGAAAUCGAGGGGCUACAGGCAGGUGAGGGCCCAGAUCAAGGUGGGGUCGGUGAUCGUGCUCCCCGCGGGCCACCCGGCGACGUUCGUGGCCGGGAACGAGGGGAACCUCGCCCUGCUGUCCUUCGGCGUGGGCGCCAACAACGACGAGGAGGUGUUCGUGACCGGCGGGAACAGCGUGCUGAAGCAGCUGGACGACGCGGCCAAGGCGCUGGCGUUCCCCCAGCAGGCGAGGGAGCUGGCGGACAGGGUCAUCCGCGCGCAGCCGGAGUCCGUGUUCGUCGCCGGCCCGCAGCAGCAGCGCCGCGUCGCCGACAUGUGA